AUUUGCACAGGUCAGAGCCAUAGUGUUCCCUCUGAUCUCAGUUUAAAUAAAAGGCAAAGACUUCGAGUGCAGCAGUCUCAUUCUUGAAAUUCCCAUGAAAUGGGGACGCUUCUCUUCACCCAGUGCCACCGCACGUUAAGUACCAGAAGGCUGCCUGUUCUUCCACGAGUACAGAUUGAGAUGCUCAGAGCCCCGGUCAGAACAACAGCGGAACAGUUGGGGGACACUUGAGCCAGGAAUUAGACGAAGGAUGCGUCUCCUGCUUUGUUGUUGGAACUGGCCCUAGAUCACUCACAAACUGUGCUGGUGGAGGACGGCAGAGCAGAGGGAUCUUCCUUCAGGUUGCUCUCCAAGAAGUGGGGGAAGAAACAAAGAAUCAGAGAGCACAUCCAGAAAAGCCUCUGGAACCACUCCCACAAGCUGAGGGUCUGCUGUGGGUCUCGCUUCCUUGGUGCUCACCAAGUUUCAUCAACUCCUGGGGGGCAGAUCUGUCAGCUUUCCCAAGGGAUUGGGUGACAUCCAAAUGUCAUGUUGGAAAGUACCACUUAGUAGUCUCUCUUUCCUGGAAUGAAAGAAUCUUUGAGUCAACAUGGGAACAUCACAUAUUCAACAGCUUCCCAAAGGCUUAAAUGUUGAUUUAUCUGUGUUGCUGGCCAACCCAGGCUCCUUGCUGACUUAGCACAUGGACUGGAGAGAAUCAUACCUUUUAGUCUGAAGAUCAGGAUCCAUAAUCUAAAGGAGCAAGAGGCAGCAGGAGACUCAUCCCGAAUAUCCUCUGCUUAGUCUUCCAACUCAAAACUGGCCAACAGGACUGAACAAACCGAAAAUGUGAACACACAUUGCUUUGCAAGAUGCCAUUGAUGUCACAGCACAGCCAUUUGGAAAAAGUGAGAUAGGCCCUAGUUUUCCCUUCAAAUAAGUAGUUCCAUAGCAAAAAAUAAAAAAAUAAAAAUUAGCAUUGUUUUUUUCUUUUUAAGACUACGUGACAGUAAACAACAAUUUGGCUAAGUUUUUUUUCCUAACAGAAUGUUUUUGAGUAUCAUGUAGUCAUUCCUGUAGUCAAAGCACAAAUUAGUCCACAGAGGUGACUAAUUUUUUUAAAAGUUGCAACUUUCCUUGGUAAUCUAUUCCUAAGCUUUACAAUUUUCUCUCCCAAGAAUUUAUUCCUCACGUUGGACCUGGACCAUUUCUCUCACAACUGUCUCUUCUUUUGUCUUCAGGAAAAAUAAAGAACAUUAUAUUACUAAAUACAAUGGUGUAGUAUACCUUUGCCUAAAUGAAAUAUUGGUCUGUUCCCUCAAAUUUCUCCCAUGCAACUCAAAUAAUCAUAAAAUCCUAAUUUCUUCAUCUCCUUCUUAUACGUUAUUGUUUAUACAUAGGUGCUAUCUGUUGUUUCCAAAGUUCUAAAUAGUUCUGACACUUGCGAUUCAGAAUUGGUGCUGUCUUCUCAAGUUCUUGGUCAAAGAUCUUCCCCCGAAAGCCUGAUUGAGGGCCACCUGGGCAGCAGCCAUCGACGUAUCUGGGAGGCCCCAGUCUCCUCUGAGCAUGGUGGUUAAGACUGUGGGAGUGGAGGCAGACCAAUCUGUGUUUGAAUUCCAGCUAUGCCAUUUACUGUUUGUUCAUACUUGGGUAGUAAUUAACAGCCCUGUGCUUAGGAAAUGAGGCUAAUAAUUGUACCUAUUUUGUAAAAUUUUUAUGAAGAUGGAAUGAGACAAAACCGUGAAAUAAUAGACACUUCGACAAUCAUGUUAGGGAUUGUUAGAAUAAACUUUAGUUCUUGUUAUCAUUAUAUAUUCAUUUGUCGUUUACCUGAGUUCUAUUGGUGAAUGAAACAAUACCAGAUUUUUAUAUUUCUUCCUCAUUUUUAAUUUUCCCUUUUGAAUGUGUUAGUGUCAAUGAAUGUCAUUGACAUUCCUGGGCCAAAGAUAUAUCUUGUCUCCUUGAGUCAAACAGAGAACCUUCUGACCAGGUCACACCUAGUCUGGAGUACACUAGCCAUUUGAGCAGCACACUCAAGGUUUUAGGACAUGUAGGAGAAAAAGUAGGUCUUCUCGGAAGUCAUUCUUCUAAUUGCCAUGUCAUUGAUCUCUGGCCCAGGUUCUGAAAGAAAUUAGUUCAGAGGGAAGUUCAGCAGAGAGCAAGUGUUAUCUAGAUUUGGAAAAAUAGGGUCC
ensembl:lncRNA